AUUGAACGCUGGCGGCAUGCCUUACACAUGCAAGUCGAACGGCAGCACGGGUGCUUGCACCUGGUGGCGAGUGGCGAACGGGUGCGUAAUACAUCGGAACAUGUCCUGUAGUGGGGGAUAGCCCGGCGAAAGCCGGAUUAAUACCGCAUACGAUCUACGGAUGAAAGCGGGGGACCUUCGGGCCUCGCGCUAUAGGGUUGGCCGAUGGCUGAUUAGCUAGUUGGUGGGGUAAAGGCCUACCAAGGCGACGAUCAGUAGCUGGUCUGAGAGGACGACCAGCCACACUGGGACUGAGACACGGCCCAGACUCCUACGGGAGGCAGCAGUGGGGAAUUUUGGACAAUGGGCGAAAGCCUGAUCCAGCAAUGCCGCGUGUGUGAAGAAGGCCUUCGGGUUGUAAAGCACUUUUGUCCGGAAAGAAAUCCUUGGCUCUAAUACAGUCGGGGGAUGACGGUACCGGAAGAAUAAGCACCGGCUAACUACGUG
rnacentral:rRNA from 1 species